GCCGGGGUGGCGGAAUCGGCAGACGCGGCGGACUUAAAAUCCGUUGGUGGCGACACCGUGGGGGUUCGAGCCCCCCCCUCGGCACCA
rnacentral:tRNA from 1 species